GCUGUAAUUUUUAUAGCACGUGGUUAUCACACUUAAUGAAUCGAAAGUUAUUCAAAUAAACCACACUUCAUUUUCUUUUGCUGUGUAUGAAUCUAAUUAGUACUCGAAUAUGUAUGUGUGCUAAUGAUGGGGGUGGUCAAUUGAUACAUAGGUAUAUUAUUGAUCAUGAUACAUAAUACCCUUGCCAGAACAAAUCUAAUUGUAUUCUUAAUCGUUUAAUUUGUUGUGUCUGUUUUUUAUUGCCAGACAAACCCAACACCCUGAUUUUAUUGUGUAUGGUUGGUAAUUGUAUAAAUAAAGUACUUGUCCAUCAUAAAUAAAUCAGAAA